rnacentral:rRNA from 1 species
AUGAUAGGAUUCCAUCUUGACCGAAUUCACAUGGUGUUUUUACCUUUAAGCUCAUACAGUUUCUGGUACACGGUUGUUGCUAACUUUAGGAAGAAAUUGUUCGAAGUCCUCUGCCCAAACAACAGAAUCGACUUGAUUGCUGACGAAGCUCAGCUUGUAAUCAAGAAUUUCAAAGCGGCUUUCAAGCUGGCAUACAAGAGAUCACAACUAAAUGUGACUGACAUGGGUGUGUCUUUCCGGAGUGUGUGCUCUUCAACUAAAGAGGCAGAUAGUGGGAUCUUCACAAUGAAGUUGGUACAAGGACAUGAUGGAGACAACACUUUGUGUUUCGAACCCGAGCAUGCAAAGAGCCUGCGCGAGAGUCUAACUUACUACAUGGUUGCUCACCCUUGCAAUGAAAAAACUGAUGCCAGAAACCAAAGAAAUCUUAAGAAAAUAUGGUGUUCCAUUUGA